CCUACGUGGGGCAGCAGUGAGGAAUAUUGGUCAAUGGGCGAGAGCCUGAACCAGCCAAGCCGCGUGAAGGAUGACUGCCCUAUGGGUUGUAAACUUCUUUUAUAAAGGAAUAAAACGAGGCACGUGUGCCUUUUUGCAUGUAUUUUAUGAAUAAGGAUCGGCUAACUCCGUGCCAGCAGCCGCGGUAAUACGGAGGAUCCGAGCGUUAUCCGGAUUUAUUGGGUUUAAAGGGAGCGUAGAUGGGUUGUUAAGUCAGUUGUGAAAUUUUGGGGCUCAACCGUAAAAUUGCAAUUGAUACUGGCAGUCUUGAGUACAGUUGAGGUAGGCGGAAUGCGUGGUGUAGCGGUGAAAUGCUUAGAUAUCACGAAGAACUCCGAUUGCGAAGGCAGCUUACUAGCCUGAGACUGACACUGAUGCUCGAAAGUGUGGGUAUCAAACAGGAUUAGAUACCCGAGUAGUC
rnacentral:rRNA from 1 species